GGAAACAGAUGCUAAUACCGGAUAACAACACUAGACGCAUGUCUAGAGUUUAAAAGAUGGUUCUGCUAUCACUCUUGGAUGGACCUGCGGUGCAUUAGCUAGUUGGUAAGGUAACGGCUUACCAAGGCAAUGAUGCAUAGCCGAGUUGAGAGACUGAUCGGCCACAUUGGGACUGAGACACGGCCCAA
rnacentral:rRNA from 1 species